rnacentral:rRNA from 1 species
AGAGUUUGAUCCUGGCUCAGAUUGAACGCUGGCGGCAUGCCUUACACAUGCAAGUCGAACGGCUGCACGGGAGUAAUCCUGGUGGCGAGUGGCGAACGGGUGAGUAACAUAUCGGAACGUGCCCAGUCGUGGGGGAUAACGCAGCGAAAGCUGUGCUAAUACCGCAUACGAUCUCUGGAUGAAAGCGGGGGACUCUGCAAAGAGCCUCGCGCGAUUGGAGCGGCCGAUAUCAGAUUAGCUAGUUGGUGGGGUAAAAGCCCACCAAGGCGACGAUCUGUAGCUGGUCUGAGAGGACGACCAGCCACACUGGAACUGAGACACGGUCCAGACUCCUACGGGAGGCAGCAGUGGGGAAUUUUGGACAAUGGGCGAAAGCCUGAUCCAGCAGUGCCGCGUGCAGGAUGAAGGCCUUCGGGUUGUAAACUGCUUUUGUACGGAACGAAACGGUUCACUCUAAUACGGUGGGCUAAUGACGGUACCGUAAGAAUAAGCACCGGCUAACUACGUGCCAGCAGCCGCGGUAAUACGUAGGGUGCGAGCGUUAAUCGGAAUUACUGGGCGUAAGCGUGCGC